rnacentral:rRNA from 1 species
ACACGGGCCCAGACUCCUACGGGAGGCAGCAGUGGGGAAUAUUGGACAAUGGGCGAAAAGCCUGAUCCAGCAAUGCCGCGUGAGUGAUGAAGGCCUUAGGGUUGUAAAGCUCUUUUACUAGGGAUGAUAAUGACAGUACCUAGAGAGUAAGCUCCUGCUAACUCCGUGCCAGCAGCCGCGGUAAUACGGAGGGAGCUAGCGUUGUUCGGAAUUACUGGGCGUAAAGAGAACGUAGGCGGCUAUCCAAGUCAGGGGUGAAAUCCCGGGGCUCAACCCCGGAACUGCCCUUGAAACUAGGUAGCUAGAAUUCUGGAGAGGUUAGUGGAAUUCCGAGUGUAGAGGUGAAAUUCGUAGAUAUUCGGAAGAACACCAGUGGCGAAGGCGACUGACUGGACAGAUAUUGACGCUGAGGUUCGAAAGCGUGGGGAGCAAACAGGAUUAGAUACCCUGGUAGUCCACGCCGUAAACGAUGAUAACUAGCUGUUCGGGCUCAUAGAGCUUGAGUGGCGCAGCUAACGCAUUAAGUUAUCCGCCUGGGGAGUACGGUCGCAAGAUUAAAACUC